CUACGGGUGGCUCCAGUGAGGAAUAUUGCACAAUGGGGGGAACCCUGAUGCAGCAACGCCGCGUGGAGGAUGACGCAUUUCGGUGUGUAAACUCCUUUUAUAUGUCAAGAAAAUGACGGUAGCAUAUGAAUAAGCACCGGCUAACUCCGUGCCAGCAGCCGCGGUAACACGGAGGGUGCAAGCGUUACUCGGAAUCACUGGGCGUAAAGGACGCGUAGGCGGGUUGGAAAGUCAGGUGUGAAAUCCUACAGCUUAACUGUAGAACUGCACUUGAAACUUCUAAUCUAGAGUAUGGGAGGGGGAGAUGGAAUUAGUGGUGUAGGGGUAAAAUCCGUAGAUAUCACUAGGAAUACCUAAAGCGAAGGCGAUCUCCUGGAACAUUACUGACGCUAAGGCGUGAAAGCGUGGGGAGCAAACAGGAUUAGAUACCCGCGUAAUC
rnacentral:rRNA from 1 species